CCUACGUGUGGCAGCAGUGGGGAAUAUUGGACAAUGGGCGAAAGCCUGAUCCAGCCAUGCCGCGUGUGUGAAGAAGGCCUUCGGGUUGUAAAGCACUUUCAGUGGGGAAGAAAGCCUUGGGGCUAAUACCCUCGAGGAAGGACAUCACCCACAGAAGAAGCACCGGCUAACUCCGUGCCAGCAGCCGCGGUAAUACGGAGGGUGCGAGCGUUAAUCGGAAUUACUGGGCGUAAAGCGCGCGUAGGCGGUCUGAUAAGCCGGUUGUGAAAGCCCCGGGCUCAACCUGGGAACGGCAUCCGGAACUGUCAGGCUAGAGUGCAGGAGAGGAAGGUAGAAUUCCCGGUGUAGCGGUGAAAUGCGUAGAGAUCGGGAGGAAUACCAGUGGCGAAGGCGGCCUUCUGGACUGACACUGACGCUGAGGUGCGAAAGCGUGGGUAGCAAACAGGAUUAGAUACCCGGGUAGUC
rnacentral:rRNA from 1 species